rnacentral:rRNA from 1 species
GAUGAACGCUGGCGGCGUGCCUAAUACAUGCAAGUCGAACGCACAGCGAAAGGUGCUUGCACCUUUCAAGUGAGUGGCGAACGGGUGAGUAACACGUGGAUAACCUACCUCAAGGUUGGGGAUAACAUUUGGAAACAGAUGCUAAUACCGAAUAAAACUUCGUAUCGCAUGAUACAAGGUUAAAAGGCGCUACGGCGUCACCUAGAGAUGGAUCCGCGGUGCAUUAGUUAGUUGGUGGGUAAAGGCCUACAAGACAAUGAUGCAUAGCCGAGUUGAGAGACUGAUCGGCCACAUU